rnacentral:piRNA from 1 species
UGGCUGAGGCAGGAGGAUCACUUGAAUC